GAAAUGCGAUAAGUAAUGUGAAUUGCAGAAUUCAGUGAAUCAUCGAAUCUUUGAACGCACCUUGCGCUCCUUGGUAUUCCUUGGAGCAUGCCUGUUUGAGUAUCAUGAAAUCUUCAAAGAAAAUCUUUUGUUAACUCAAUUGGUUUCUACUUUGGUAUUGGAGGUCUUUGCAGCUUCACACCUGCUCCUCUUUGUUCAUUAGCUGGAUCUCAGUGUUAUGCUUGGUUCCACUCGGCGUGAUAAGUUAUCUAUCGCUGAGGACACUGUAAAAGGUGGCCAAGGUAAAUGCAGAUGAACCGCUUCUAAUAGUCCAUUGACUUGGACAAUACUUUUAUGAUCUGAUCUCAAAUCAGGUAGGACUACCCGCUGAACUUAAGC
rnacentral:misc_RNA from 1 species